CUGCCCUUCCCCCCAGCGCUGGGAGCUGAGUGACUCGGAGCGGGCUCCUGCCUCCCAACAGCCCGGUUGCUUUUCUGUGAGAGGGAAAUUAUGGGUUCUGAAGAGAAUAACAAUGAAUUGUAUAAAAUAACCACUUCUCAGCAAGCAAUUGCCUCUUGUUGUGGAGCUAUUGUUACGUCACUCUUGGUGACACCUCUUGAUGUUGUCAAAAUUCGACUGCAAGCCCAAAGCAAUUCAUUCGCUAAUGGUAAAUAUACAGGUUUUUUAAUAUUUAAUGUAAUCUGAUAUCUUUAUAAAUACUUUCCAUCUUAAC
rnacentral:lncRNA from 1 species